rnacentral:rRNA from 1 species
UUGAGGCAGGCGGAAUUCGUGGUGUAGCGGUGAAAUGCUUAGAUAUCACGAAGAACUCCGAUUGCGAAGGCAGCCUGCUAAGCUGCAACUGACAUUGAGGCUCGAAAGUGUGGGUAUCAAACAGGAUUAGAUACCCUGGUAGUCCACACGGUAAACGAUGAAUACUCGCUGUUUGCGAUAUACAGCAAGCGGCCAAGCGAAAGCGUUAAGUAUUCCACCUGGGGAGUACGCCGGCAACGGUGAAACUCAAAGGAAUUGACGGGGGCCCGCACAAGCGGAGGAACAUGUGGUUUAAUUCGAUGAUACGCGAGGAACCUUACCCGGGCUUAAAUUGCAGAUGAAUUACGGUGAAAGCCGUAAGCCGCAAGGCAUCUGUGAAGGUGCUGCAUGGUUGUCGUCAGCUCGUGCCGUGAGGUGUCGGCUUAAGUGCCAUAACGAGCGCAACCCUUGUUGUCAGUUACUAACAGGUUCUGCUGAGGACUCUGACAAGACUGCCAUCGUAAGAUGUGAGGAAGGUGGGGAUGACGUCAAAUCAGCACGGCCCUUACGCCCGGGGCUACACACGUGUUACAAUGGGGGGUACAGAGGGCCGCUACCACGCGAGUGGAUGCCAAUCCCCAAAACCUCUCUCAGUUCGGACUGGAGUCUGCAACCCGACUCCACGAAGCUGGAUUCGCUAGUAAUCGCGCAUCAGCCACGGCGCGGUGAAUACGUUCCCGGGCCUUGUACACACCGCCCGUCAAGCCAUGGGAGCCGGGGGUACCUGAAGUGCGUAACCGCGAGGAGCGCCCUAGGGUAAAAC